CGUGGUCAGUCUUGAUGAAAAC
rnacentral:miRNA from 14 species